AGCGAACAUUGGCGGUAGGCUUAACACAUGCAAGUCGAGCGAGGCGUAAUAGUCGAGCGGCGAACGGGUGAGUAAUGCAUGGGAAUCUACCUCGAAGUGGGGGAUAACGUUCAGAAAUGGACGCUAAUACCGCAUAAUCCGGGAACGGGAAAGCGCGCUGCGCUUUGAGAUGAGCCCAUGGCUGAUUAGCUAGUUGGUGGGGUAAAGGCCUACCAAGGCGACGAUCAGUAGCUGGUCUGAGAGGAUGAUCAGCCACACUGGAACUGAGACACGGUCCAGACUCCUACGGGAGGCAGCAGUGGGGAAUCUUGCGCAAUGGGGGCAACCCUGACGCAGCCAUACCGCGUGUGCGAUGACGGUCUUCGGAUUGUAAAGCACUUUUAGUGGGGACGAUGAUGACGGUACCCACAGAAAAAGUCACGGCUAACUUCGUGCCAGCAGCCGCCGUAA
rnacentral:rRNA from 1 species